AGCUGUUACAUGAGGAGCUGAAAGGAAGGGAGCAAGAGGGGAAAGAGAAAUGAUCUGGAAAAGGAUGAGAAGGAUGCCUGAGUGGGCAACAGGACUCUCCACCUGAUCUGCUUGGUGAUGCAGGAGGCAUUCUGAUUCGGCUGAUACCCACAGAGGUAACGCACAACACACCGCCUUACCUUAACUGCCACCCUUUAUUCCAUUCCUAAGCCUCACCCUGUCCUGCACCCCAAGCUUCACUCCAUCCUCAAACCCAGACGAAAGCCAGCUGCCAUGUUGGGGGCUGCCCUACGAGAGGCCCACGUCCAGGGAUCUGAGGGAGGCCAUCAGUCCAACACCUCAGGAAGACCAGACUCCUGCUUCAGCCAUCUGAGUGAGCGUGGGAGCAGCUCAUCCCCCAGGAGAGCCUUGAGAUGACCCCAGCCCAGGCUGAGCCGUGACCGCAGCCUUGUGAGAGAGUGGCCCAGUUCGUUCAUCUGCCCCUGGCUUCUCAACCCCCAGCAGUUGGGAGAUAAGCAAUGUUUCUAGCUUUAAGCUUCUAAAUUCAUCCCUGGUACAGUCAGUGAAGUGCAUUUUAGAACUCUGACUUUGCAUCUGACCACACACAUCUACUUUUGGGAUAGGAAAGGGUCAAAUGAAUUAAACGGUAGCACAUAAGAUGUGCACACGGUGCCGGGUAAAGAAGGAACUGUGGAAAACAGAUGAGACAUCAGUGAGUUCUCUAAGGCUAAUCUCAGCAGCUCCGAUUUCCACACCCCGGAAUCACACUUUGCUCCUACAGCCAAGCCUGAGUUGGCCAUCCACGGUGCCCACUCAGACCUGCUCCUUUCUGCUCUUAGACGCCAGCCACAGUCUCAGCUGGACCACAUCUCCUGUGCUUCAGAGUGGAUGAUGAUUACCCACCACGAAUAAUAAUAGGAUGUGCCUUUAUUUCAUCCAUCACCUGACCAGCGAGCAGUGCUAAGUUUCCACAGAUGCGAACACACUGAGCGCUGUCACGGCUCUCCUCACCAUCUGCCACACGUAACCACAGAACUCUGUGUGCCUGUCUGGUGCCGCUUGGGCAUGUGUCAAACAGAACCCAGAAAUUUGCAACCCAUUCCUUGCCCGGUGCUUAGCAACACAGCAUCCCUGCACCUAUGUCGAGAAUGCAGUGCACAAGCAAUGCGAGGAAAAUGUGACCUCAGUGGUUGCCAUAUGUGGAUUUCUUCCCUGGAAGCUUGUGAGUCACUAGGGCCUUCUGCUCGGCUCAACCCGCCCCCAUUCUUGGGGCACCAAGUCGGGAGAAGGGAGGAACAUUUUCAGGGAUAAUAAGCAUGUUUCGUGGCCAACUCCUCCAUCUGUUCCUCCGGCUUCUGUCUACAAGAAUGUACACAGGUUCUGCCGAAUGGAUGUGAGACUAGCCAAGGGCAGUGUGCGAUCAGCCAUUGCAGAUGGGGUCAUCGGGGACUGGGAACUGUCACUCUGCAAACAGUGAUGCUGAGAAGCACUCUUGAUACGGACCCUUCAUUUCUGGUCUAAGAGGGAACAGAUGACAAGUGAUGAAUUCACUGUGGAGGAAAGAAAGGAAAUGGCUUCAGAUUCAAUACUCUGGGGUCUCAAUGAAUGGUUGACUCAAAGCCUUUCUCAUUUGGUGUUUCAUGGGGGUUUUUUUAGAAGAAUAAAGCUGUUAGGUUAAUAAACA